rnacentral:rRNA from 1 species
GAUGAACGCUGGCGGCGUGCUUAAUACAUGCAAGUCGAGCGAACGGACGAGAAGCUUGCUUCUCUGAUGUUAGCGGCGGAUGGGUGAGUAACACGUGGAUAACCUCCCUAUAAGACUGGGAUAACUUCGGGACACCGUAGCUAAUACCGGAUAAUCUUUUGAACCGCAUGGUUCAAAAGUGAAAGACGGUCUUGGUGUCACUUAUCGAUGGAUCUGCUGUGCAUUAGCUGGUUGGUAAGGUAACGGCUUACCAAGGCAACGAUGCAUAGCCGACCCGAGAGGGGGAUCGGCCACAGUGAAGCUGAGACGCGACCCAGGCACCGACGGGAGGCAGCAGUAGGUAAUCGUGCGCAAGGUGCGAAAGACUGACGAAGGAACGCCGGGUGAGUGAAGAAGGGCUGCGGAUCGGAAAACGCUGUUAUUAGUGAAGAACAUAUGUGUAAGUAACGGUGCACAUCUUGACGGUACCGAAGCAGAAGGCCACGGCUAACUACGG